rnacentral:rRNA from 1 species
CCGGAUUUAUUGGGUUUGAAGGGUGCGUAGGGGGUCUGUUAAGUCUUGGGUGAAAUUUGGGGGCUCAUGCUCCCCGGUGCCGUUGAUACUGGCAGGCUUGAAUGCGGAUGCCGUGGGAGGAAUGUGUGGUGUAGCGGUGAAAUGCAUAGAUAUCACACAGAACACCGAUUGCGAAGGCAUCUCACGAAUCCGCAAUUGACGCUGAGGCACGAAAGCGUGGGGAUCAAACAGGAUUAGAUACCCUGGUAGUCCACGCUGUAAACGAUGAUGACUAACUGUCGGCGAUACACAGUCGGUAGCCAAGCGAAAGCGAUAAGUCAUCCACCUGGGGAGUACGACCGCAAGGUUGAAACUCAAAGGAAUUGACGGGGGCCCGCACAAGCGGAGGAACAUGUGGUUUAAUUCGAUGAUACGCGAGGAACCUUACCCGGGCUCGAACGGCAGAUGAAUUGAGUAGAGAUAUUCAAGUCUUCGGACAUCUGUCGAGGUGCUGCAUGGUUGUCGUCAGCUCGUGCUGUGAAGUGUCGGCUUAAGUGCCAUAACGAGCGCAACCCCUUGCCGUUAGUUGCCAUCAGGUUAUGCUGGGGACUCUAGCGGGGACUGCCACCGGCAAGGGUGUGAGGAAUGGGGUGAUGACGGUCGAAUCAGCACGUGUCCCUUUACGUCCGGGGACGACCCACGUGUUACGAUGGGUGGGGUACAGGAGGGAUGCUACCAUGGCCGACAUGAUGCCCGAUCCUCGUAAACCCCAUCCCCAGUUCGGGAUUGUAGUCUGGCAACCCCGACUCCAUGAAGGUUGGAUUCGGCUAGUAAUCGGCGCAUCAGC